ACCGAACCGAACCAUAACCAUAUAACACAAUUACACAAAACCUCUUAUUUUCCAGAGAACCAAAUGAAAACCCUAAAUCGAUGAAAAAAUUCCCAAAUUGAGGAACCCUAAAUCGAUCUCAACUCUAAAUUGAUGAACAUGAUUCCUAAAUUGAUGAACCCUAAUUGAUCUCAACUCUAAAUCGAUCUCAACUACCUAAAUCGAUCUCAACUUUUCUCAUUUUCUGAAGAAACUGAAGAACACGUUCUGGGUUUCUGAAAUCGAUCUCAACAAACUAUGGCGUCAAACAUGAAUUCUCCCGCAGGAGUAGGAAGACCUUCUUCAGCCAGUCAAGAUUAGGUGUUAAGGAUUUAUCAUGUAGUACUUUGUAUAUUUUGUAGUAUGGUAUCUUUUAAAGCAAGGGUGGCUACAAGUACUUUGAUAUCCUUUGAAGUAUGUCUUAUGAAAAAUUUGAUAUAACCUUAACAUGUAGUAAUUCGGGAUAUGAGUCAUGAUACAUGUACCA